CCUACGGGAGGCAGCAGUGGGGAAUAUUGGGCAAUGGGCGCAAGCCUGACCCAGCAACGCCGCGUGAAGGAAGAAGGCUUUCGGGUUGUAAACUUCUUUUCUCAGGGACGAAGAAAGUGACGGUACCUGAGGAAUAAGCCACGGCUAACUACGUGCCAGCAGCCGCGGUAAUACGUAGGUGGCAAGCGUUAUCCGGAUUAACUGGGUGUAAAGGGCGUGUAGGGGGGAAAGCAAGGCAGAUGUGAAAACCAUGGGCUCAACCUGUGGCCUGCAUUUGAAACUGUUUUUCUUGAGUACUGGAGGGGCAGACGGAAUUCCUCGGGUAGCGGUGAAAUGCGGAGAUAUGAGGAGGAACACCAGUGGCGAAGGCGGUCUGCUGGACAGCAACUGACGCUGGGGCGCGAAAGCGUGGGGAGCAAACAGGAUUAGAUACCCCGUGUAGUC
rnacentral:rRNA from 1 species